AGCGAACGCUGGCGGCAGGCCUAACACAUGCAAGUCGAACGAACCUUUCGGGGUUAGUGGCGGACGGGUGAGUAACACGUGGGAACGUGCCUUUAGGUUCGGAAUAACUCAGGGAAACUUGUGCUAAUACCGAAUGUGCCCUUCGGGGGAAAGAUUUAUCGCCUUUAGAGCGGCCCGCGUCUGAUUAGCUAGUUGGUUGAGGUAAUGGCUCACCAAGGCGACGAUCAGUAGCUGGUCUGAGAGGAUGAUCAGCCACAUUGGGACUGAGACACGGUCCAAACUCCUACGGGAAGCAGCAGUGGGGAAUCUUGCGCAAUGGGCGAAAGCCUGACGCAGCCAUGCCGCGUGAAUGAUGAAGGUCUUAGGAUUGUAAAAUUCUUUCACCGGGGACGAUAAUGACGGUACCCGGAGAAGAAGCCCCGGCUAACUUCGUG
rnacentral:rRNA from 1 species